rfam:Callithrix jacchus chromosome 22, whole genome shotgun sequence
CCUCUGGCUGUGACCUCUUGACGGAAGCACUUUCUGUUUUCUGAAAGCAAAGAAAGUGUCUCCGUUAAGAGGGUCACUGCCUGAGA